rnacentral:rRNA from 1 species
UGGGGAAUCUUGCACAAUGGGGGCAACCCUGAUGCAGCGAUGCCGCGUGAGCGAUGAAGCCCUUCGGGGCGUAAAGCCCUUUCGACCGGAACGAUAAUGACGGUACCGGGAGAAGAAGCUGCGGCUAACUACGUGCCAGCAGCCGCGGUAAUACGUAGGCAGCAAGCGUUGUUCGGAGUUACUGGGCGUAAAGAGUGCGUAGGCGGUUUUCUAAGUUCGGUGUGAAAUCUCCCGGCUUAACUGGGAGGGUGCGCCGAAGACUGGGAAGCUGGAGUGUGGGAAAGGCAGGCGGAAUUCCUGGUGUAGCGGUGAAAUGCGUAGAUAUCAGGAGGAACACCGGCGGUGUAGACGGCUUGCUAAACCAUAACUGACGCUGAGGCACGAAAGCGUGGGUAGCAAACA